CUACAUGAAGCUGGAAUCGCUAGUAAUCGCGGAUCAGAAUGCCGCGGUGAAUACGUUCCCGGGUCUUGCACACACCGCCCGUCACACCAUGGGAGUCGGAAAUGCCCGAAGUCUGUGACCCAACCUACGGGAGGGAGCAGCCGAAGGCAGGUCGGAUGACUGGGGUGAAGUCGUAACAAGGUACC
rnacentral:rRNA from 1 species